rnacentral:rRNA from 1 species
GAUGAACGCUGGCGGCGUGCCUAAUACAUGCAAGUCGAGCGGACGGACGAGAAGCUUGCUUCUCUGAUGUUAGCGGCGGACGGGUGAGUAACACGUGGAUAACCUCCCUAUAAGUCUGGGAUAACUUCGGGAAACCGGAGCUAAUACCGUAUAAUAUUUUGCACCGCAUGGUUCAAAAGUAAGAGACGGUCUUGCUGUCACUAAUCGAUGCAUCCGCGCUGCAUUAGCUAGUUGGUAAGGUAACGGCUUACCAAGGCAACGAUGCAUAGCCGACCUGAGAGGGUGAUCGGCCACACUGGAACUGAGACACGGUCCAUACUCCUACGGGAGGCAGCAGUAGGGAAUCUUCCGCAAUGGGCGAAAGCCUGACGGAGCAACGCCGCGUGAGUGAUGAAGGUCUUCGGAUCGUAAAACUCUGUUAUUAGGGAAGAACAUAUGUGUAAGUAACUGUGCACAUCGUGACGGUACCUAAUCAGAAAGCCACGGCUAACUACGUG